GCCAAAAGUCAGGGAUGUCUUAUUUUCUGUAUUAAGGCAUGAAAGUAAUGACAAAUAUGACGAUGUUGCUGAUAGUAACGAUUGGUAACCCUAUUUAUAUUAGUGUUAAACAUCGUUUGAACUAUGGUCAGAAAAGCUAGCUAUAAUGAAUAGUACAAUAUAGUCAUAAUAUGUAAAUGAAAGAGAUGAAAAGAUUCGUUGGAAUAUCUAAACAAUAUUAUUAAGAAUGUACGAAGACCUAAGUAAUUUUAUCACAUUUGACUAUAAUACCAUUUGGAACAUGCAUAGUGAAAGUUCAGAAAAUAUGUACCAAAACACAGUUUUAUUUGAUAUAAUGCAGGAUAAUGAACCUUCUAAAGAAAUUAAUACGAAUGAAGAAAAAGAUCAUUUUGAGGAAUUAAAUAAUUUUGAAUCUGAUAACAUAUUACAUAAUAAAAUAUCACAUAAUACUAGUACGAAACAAGACAUAUUAAUAUUGAAUAAGACACAUCGCACAGUUCCUAAUAUUUUAAAGAGUAGUUCAAGAUCACAUAGAAUAUCUGAAGUAGAUGGAACAAAACCAAAUUGCUUCUUUGAAGAUAUAGCAAAAACAGAGCAACAAGUUUUACUUGUUCCUGAUGCAGCAUCAAAGCAUAUUCAGUCUGAAAAUACAUUUGUUAAAGAAGCUAAAUAUAAAAAAGUAUCAAGGAGAAGAAAACAAAAGUUUAGCUAUGUGAACGCCUGGAACAUUUGCUCCUUUGUUGACAAGGAGAAGGAAAUAUUGGAUAAAAACGUUUGUAUGUCAACAGAGAUAGACAGUUCUGCACAAAAAAAUAAGUUGAAGCAUUACGCUAAUAAGCAGGAUAAAAGACAAGGAAUAUCUAUUCUUAAAAGUGAACAAGAAAGACUUGUAUCUUCAAUGUCUGAGAAUGUAUUAACAGAUUGUACCUCCAAAGGUCAGGCCCCUUCAUCUUUGGAAGAAAUUGAAUCAGAUAAUUUUCAAGAUUCAAUUGAUUUCUCAAGCAAUGAAAUAUUUAAUACAUUUUAUUACGAAUCUUAUGACAGCAAUAAGUUAGAUUGUUUUAUAGGGUAUACAGAGAAUUCUGAUGAUGCAUAUAAUUCUUUUAGUUCAAAACAUAGUGAUUAUCAGGUAAAAGAACUUGAUAUGAAUUAUAAUGAAAUAGAUACAUAUGAGACAAUGGCAGAUUGGUCCUUAACAGACAAUGAACAAGAUGAAAUAGAUAUUUCAAUAAGAAAACCUGUAAUGUCUCCAGAUUAUUGGAUCGAAGAUCUCUUCAGUGAUAGAAAAUCAAAAUGUUCAUGCUGUGAUUAUUCUUGCCAUGAGGAUUAUGCUCCAAAUUUGAUUACAACUAGUGAAAUUAAUACUUAUACAAAAGACAGACUAUCAACAGAAAUUUUUAAUGAUGAUUCACAAGCUAAUUUGAACAAUACAGAUUUAUAUACCUCAAAUAGUACAUACGUAACUGAUAAUGUUUUAAGUGAGGACAGCAGUAGAACAUGCUCACCGCUUAUUGACAUUGAGAGCUCUUUGCAAAUUACUGAUGAUAUUGACUCAACGUUAAUAAAAUUUUUUAAUUAUUCAUGUCAAAAAGAUAUUGAAGAAGGAAUAUCUAAACAAUUUACAUGUACACAAGAACAACAAGAAACAUUACAAAUUCAAGACAGCAACGAAUAUAAACAUAUUACAAAAAAGAACGAGUUUCAGUGUUCAUCAUGUUUAUUAUCGUUUGCAAGCGCGCGUACAAUGGCAAUACAUCAAGCUGCAGCGCAUGGAGGUAUGUACAUAAUACUUUGCGAAAGUUGUGGUAGGCUUUUCAAUCGAAAAUAUCAUUUCAAUAGGCAUUUCAUUCAUUGCCACCGUAUGAAAGAACCUUUCAAUUGCGACAUGUGCUUUAGAAAAUAUAGAAAUUUGUUUUCAGACACAAGUCGUCUUUACUUCACCACUUAAAAGCAGUGCACCAGGUUCACUAUACUCGUAGUCGUUCGUCAACAUUCACUUGUGAAGUGUGCCAAAAAGUUUAUAGCAAAUUUGGUGCUUUUGAAAAUCAUGUGAAAACCCAUAAAAACGCUUGAGAUACUUUUAUUUCAUCCAAAUAAAUGUAGCUUUGUAAACUCUAUCAGAGUGAAAAAUAAUCUAUGUGCAAUACACGAAAAACGAUAAAGAGAAACAAGUGAUGACACAUAUAUUAUCAGAUAUUA